rnacentral:rRNA from 1 species
UACAGAGGUGGCAAGCGUUGUUCGGAAUUACUGGGCGUAAAGGGCGCGUAGGCGGUCUUUUAAGUCUUGUGUGAAAUCCCUCGGCUCAACUGAGGAACUGCACGGGAUACUGGAAGACUUGAGUUCGGGAGAGGGAAGCGGAAUUCCGGGUGUAGCGGUGAAAUGCGUAGAUAUCAGGAGGAACACCGGUGGCGAAGGCGGGUCUCUGGGCCGAAACUGACGCUGAGGAGCGAAAGCGUGGGGAGCAAACAGG